rnacentral:rRNA from 1 species
GACGAACGCUGGCGGCGUGCCUAAUACAUGCAAGUGGAACGCAACUUUUCUCCCGUUUCUUCGGAAACACCUGAGAAGUUGAGUCGCGAACGGGUGAGUAACGCGUAGGUAACCUACCUCUUAGCGGGGGAUAACUAUUGGAAACGAUAGCUAAUACCGCAUAACAGUGUUUAACACAUGUUAAACAUUUGAAAGAAGCAACUGCUUCACUAGGAGAUGGACCUGCGUUGUAUUAGCUAGUUGGUAGGGUAACGGCCUACCAAGGCUCCGAUACAUAGCCGACCUGAGAGGGUGAUCGGCCACACUGGGACUGAGACACGGCCCAGACUCCUACGGGAGGCAGCAGUAGGGAAUCUUCGGCAAUGGGGGCAACCCUGACCGAGCAACGCCGCGUGAGUGAAGAAGGUUUUCGGAUCGUAAAGCUCUGUUGUAAGAGAAGAACGGGUAUGAGAGUGGAAAAUUCAUACUGUGACGGUAUCUUACCAGAAAGGGACGGCUAACUACGUGCCAGCAGCCGCGGUAAUACGUAGGUCCCGAGCGUUGUCCGGAUUUAUUGGGCGUAAAGCGAGCGCAGGUGGUUACAUAAGUCUGAAGUAAAAGGCAGUGGCUCAACCAUUGUAUGCUUUGGAACUGUGUAACUUGAGUGCAGAAGGGGAGAGUGGAAUUCCAUGUGUAGCGGUGAAAUGCGUAGAUAUAUGGAGGAACACCGGUGGCGAAAGCGGCUCUCUGGUCUGUAACUGACACUGAGGCUCGAAAGCGUGGGGAGCAAACAGG